rnacentral:rRNA from 1 species
GACGAACGCUGGCGGCGUGCUUAACACAUGCAAGUCGAACGGAAAGGCCCUGCUUUUGUGGGGUGCUCGAGUGGCGAACGGGUGAGUAACACGUGAGUAACCUGCCCUUGACUUUGGGAUAACUUCAGGAAACUGGGGCUAAUACCGGAUAGGAGCUCCUGCUGCAUGGUGGGGGUUGGAAAGUUUCGGCGGUUGGGGAUGGACUCGCGGCUUAUCAGCUUGUUGGGGGGGUAGUGGCUUCCCAAGGCUUUGAGGGGUAGCCGGCCUGAGAGGGUGACCGGCCACAUUGGGACUGAGAUACGGCCCAGACUCCUACGGGAGGCAGCAGUGGGGAAUAUUGCACAAUGGGCGGAAGCCUGAUGCAGCAACGCCGCGUGCGGGAUGACGGCCUUCGGGUUGUAAACCGCUUUCGCCUGUGACGAAGCGUGAGUGACGGUAAUGGGUAAAGAAGCACCGGCUAACUACGUG